rnacentral:rRNA from 1 species
GAUGAACGCUGGCGGCGUGCCUAAUACAUGCAAGUCGAGCGAACAGAUGAGGAGCUUGCUCCUCUGACGUUAGCGGCGGACGGGUGAGUAACACGUGGAUAACCUACCUAUAAGACUGGGAUAACUUCGGGAAACCGGAGCUAAUACCGGAUAAUAUAUUGAACCGCAUGGUUCAAUAGUGAAAGACGGUUUUGCUGUCACUUAUAGAUGGAUCCGCGCCGCAUUGGCUAGUUGGUAAGGUAACGGCUUACCAAGGCAACGAUGCGUAGCCAACCUGAGAGGGAGAUCGACCACACUGGAACUGAGACGCGGUCCAUGCUCCUACGGGAGGAAGCAGUAGGGAAUCUUCCGCAAUAGGCGGAAGCCUGACAGAGCAACGCCGCGUGAGAGAUGAAAAUCUUCGGAUCGUAAAACUCUGUUAUUGGGGAAGAACAAAUGUGUAAGUAACUAUGCACGUCUUGACGGUACCUAAUCAGAAAGCCACGGCUAACUACGUG